GCUACGGGAGGCUGCCGUGAGGAAUAUUUGUCAAUGGGCGCGAGCCUGAACCAGCCAAGUAGCGUGAAGGAUGACUGCCCUACGGGUUGUAAACUUCUUUUAUAAAGGAAUAAAGUGAGGCCCGUGUGCCUUUUUGUAUGUACUUUAUGAAUAAGGAUCGGCUAACUCCGUUCCAGCAGCCUAGGUAAUACGGGGGAUCCGCGCGUUAUCCGGAUUUAUUGGGUUUAAAGGUAUCGUAGAUGGGUUGUUAAGUCAGUUGUGAAAGAUUGUGGCUCACACGUAAAAUUGCAAUUGAUACUGGCAGUCUUGAGUACAGUUGAGGUAGGCGGAAUUCGUGGUGUAGCGGUGAAAUGCUUAGAGAUCACGAAGAACUCCGAUUGCGAAGGCAGCUUACUAAACUGCAACUGACAUUGAUGCUCGAAAGUGUGGGUAUCAAACAGGAUUAGAUACCCCAGUAGUC
rnacentral:rRNA from 1 species